AUAGGCAAUUAUUCCUGCUAAUGGUUUUUUGUUUAAAUGUUUUUUCGCCUAAGGAUGGGUCUGCGGCCGAUUAGGUAGUUGGCUUAGGUAAUGGCUUACCAAGCCUUUGAUCGGUACGGGUUGUGAGAGCAAGAGCCCGGAGAUGGAACCUGAGACAAGGUUCCAGGCCCUACGGGGUGCAGCAGGCGCGAAACCUCCGCAAUGUGAGAAAUCGCGACGGGGGGAUCCCAAGUGCCAUUCUUAACGGGAUGGCUUUUCAUUAGUGUAAAGAGCUUUUGGAAUAAGAGCUGGGCAAGACCGGUGCCAGCCUCCGCGGUAACACCGGCAGCUCUAGUGGUAGCAGUUUUUAUUGGGCCUAAAGCGUCCGUAGCCGGNUUAAUAAGUCUCUGGUGAAAUCCUGCACCUUAACUGUGGGAAUUGCUGGAGAUACUAUUANACUUGAGAUCGNNAGAGGUUAGAGGUACUCCCANGGUAUAGGUGAAAUUCUGUAAUCCUGGGNGGACCGCCUGUUGCCAAGGCGUCUGACUGGAACGAUUCUGACAGUGAGGGACGAAAGCUAGGGGCGCGAACC
rnacentral:rRNA from 1 species